CCUGGAGACUCCUACGGGAGGCAGCAGUGAGGAAUCUUCCACAAUGGGCGAAAGCCUGAUGGAGCAACGCCGCGUGCAGGAUGAAGGCCUUCGGGUUGUAAACUGCUUUUAUAAGUGAGGAAUAUGACGGUAACUUAUGAAUAAGGAUCGGCUAACUACGUGCCAGCAGCCGCGGUCAUACGUAGGAUCCGAGCGUUAUCCGGAGUGACUGGGCGUAAAGAGUUGCGUAGGCGGUUUGUUAAGCGAAUAGUGAAACCUGGUGGCUCAACCAUACAGACUAUUAUUCGAACUGGCAAACUCGAGAGUGGUAGAGGUCACUGGAAUUUCUUGUGUAGGAGUGAAAUCCGUAGAUAUAAGAAGGAACACCAAUGGCGUAGGCAGGUGACUAGACCAUUUCUGACGCUAAGGCACGAAAGCGUGGGGAGCGAACCGGAUUAGAAACCCCGGUAGUCCAGAGAA
rnacentral:rRNA from 1 species